GCUCCAAGUUGCCGCCAGAACCCAUGGCCGGCGUGGAAACCGCUGCGAGGCGGCGCCACGACGGAGGCUGAGGUCGCCGGCAGUAUCCAUGGCGUCCCAGAGCGGCAGCUCCCUGGGGCUCCUGGCCUGGUUCUUGCUUCUUCAGCCAUGGCUCGAAGAGGCCCGGGCAGGCAGGGUGGGUGCGCAGGGAGGCGUAGCACUGCUCUUCCCCUCCGCGCUCCCCUCAGGGCCAGGCGGCCAGGACCCCGGAGCGAGCGGAUGGGAGCCGCCACCUGUAGGGGCUCCAGGAUCCCCAGCGGCCCCCCAGUCCAGGGGGAACGCAGUGCGCCCCGCUUCGGUGUUACUUCCCUCAGCCUGUGGCCAGCGGACUUCAAGGAUAACUGGAGGAUUGCCGGCUCCAGACAGGAAGUGGCCCUGGCAGGUGAGCCUGCAGACCAGCAACAGACACAUCUGCGGAGGCUCCCUUAUCGCCAGACACUGGGUACUCACUGCCGCUCACUGCAUCUCUGGGUGAGGGUUUGGGGCUCAGAGCUUGGGCCCUGAUCAGGCUGUGGGACCUGGAGCCAGUCUGUCCCCCUCCCUGAACUUCCUCUUCCUCAUCUGUAAAAGGGGGUGACAGCCCCAUAGUUUUUAUCCAGUCUGGGUGAGACCUGAGGAUUUGCAUUUCUAACAAGUUUCUGGGUGUUGCCUCCGCCGCUGAUCUGGGGACUACUGGCUAAAGUGGUCAGGGGUCCUGGAGGGAUGUGGCUUGGAGAGAGGGAGGUAGCUGCUGGCUGGCAUAGGAAGAUGGUACCAGGCGGGAAGCACCUCGAAGGUGUGGAAGCAGAGUGUAGACCCUGGAGGAUCUUCCUGCAGCCAUCUGGAAUACACAGUGAAGCUGGGAGACACAAAUGUGCAUCAUCGCUCCAAAACAGCACUUGUGGUCCCAGUUCGUGACGUCGUUAUCCACCGAUAUUUUACGUCUCCUGGAAUAAUUGAAAAUGACAUUGCCCUUGCCCUGCUUGACUUCCCUGUGAAUUACUCCACGCACAUCCAGCUUGUGUGCCUCCCUGAACAGGCUUUCAUGGUGCAAGCUGGUACGAACUGCUGGGUGACCGGAUGGGGCAAAGUAAAUGAAACAGGUGAGCCAUACCGACCCGAGGAGGAUUCCAGAAUGACCCCGGCAAGCCCAGAAGCCCGGACGUCUCCUGUGCACCCGAAAUUCCCCAAAAUUCCAGAAACUUCUGUAGCUCCAGGGUCUCCAGCGACCGCAGGGCCUCCAGGAUCCUGGGUUACUUCAGCAUCUACAGUGGGAGAAGCCUUGGAAUCCGACGGAAUCUCUGACCUUGGAAGGCAGUUUUCUCAGGGUAUUGUUUCUGGUGCUAGAUCUGUCCUGGCCUGCGGGGUAGGUCAAAGGGGACACAGCCUGGCUCAGGGAGGUUGAGGGUCAGACCCUGACCUAGAUGAUUUGAGAGAGAGGAUAGAUAACCCGCCUCCGCCCUGGGCAGCCUGGUGGGGUGGUGGGAAGGUAGUGGCUUCACUUCCAGUCCCCUCUCUUUACUGAGCCCACCAGCCUGUGGCCACCGUGUUUCAAGGAUGAUUGGAGGAUUGCCAGCCCCAAACAAGAAGUGGCCCUGGCAGGUGAGCCUGCAGACCAGCAACAUACACCACUGCGGAGGCUCCCUCAUCGACAGGCGCUGGGUGCUCACUGCCGCCCACUGUGUCUUUAGUAAUUUGGAAUACAAGGUGAAGCUGGGAGACCCUGACUUGCAUGCUGGUUCCAAAGAGGCACUGGUGAUCCCAGUUUGAGACAUCAUUUUUCCUAGCAAUUUUGAUUUUGCCACUUUGACAAGCGACAUUGCCCUUGCUCUGCUCGCCUACUCUGUGAAUUAUUCCUCACAUAUCCAGCCUGCGUGCCUCCCCGAAAAGCUUUUUGAAGUGGAAGCUGGGACAGAGUGCUGGGUGACUGGAUGGGGCCAAGUGUCAGAGAGUGUUUCAGGACCAAUGCCACUUGUUCUUCAGGAGACUGAGCUAAACAUUAUGCGUCAUGAGAAAUGUUGUGAGAUGCUCAAGAACAAGAAUAUAUCCAAGAGUAAAAUGGUCACGAGGGGGACCGUCUGUGGCUAUAAUGACCAAGGGAAGGAUGCCUGUCAGGUCA
rnacentral:lncRNA from 1 species